rnacentral:rRNA from 1 species
GAUCCUGGCUCAGGAUGAACGCUAGCUACAGGCUUAACACAUGCAAGUCGUGGGGCAGCAUGGGAGAUGCUUGCAUUUCCUGAUGGCGACCGGCGCACGGGUGAGUAACGCGUAUCCAACCUGCCCUUCACUCCGGCACAGCCCGUCGAGAGACGGAUUAAUGCGGGAUGCAGUCAGAAAGAUGCAUAUUAAUUUGACGAAAGGUCUUCGGGCCGGUGAGGGAUGGGG